rnacentral:rRNA from 2 species
GACGGGGGAGGCAAGCGUUGUCCGGAAUCACUGGGUGUAAAGGGCGUGUAGGCGGGCCGGCUAGUCGGUUGUUAAAUCUCUCCGCUCAACGGAGAAGCUGCGGCCGAUACUUCCGGUCUUGAGUGCGGCAGGGGAGGAUGGAAUUCCUGGUGUAGCGGUGAAAUGCGUAGAUAUCAGGAGGAACACCGGUGGCGAAGGCGGUCCUCUGGGCCUGCACUGACGCUGAGUGCGCGAAAGCUGGGGUAGCAAACAGAAUUAGAUACUCUGGUAGUCCCAGCCCUAAACGAUGGGUACUAGGUGUUCGCCCCUUCAAGGGGUGAGUGCCGCAGCUAACGCAUUAAGUACCCCACCUGGGGAGUACGAUCGCAAGGUUGAA